rnacentral:rRNA from 1 species
CCCUUAGAUGUUCUGGGCUGCACGCGCGCUACACUGAAGCGUUCAACGAGUAUUCACCUUGCCCGGGAGGGUUGGGUAAUCUUUUCAAAACGCUUCGUGAUGGGGAUAGAUUAUUGCAAUUAUUAAUCUUCAACGAGGAAUUCCUAGUAAGCGCGAGUCAUCAGCUCGUGCUGAUUACGUCCCUGCCCUUUGUACACACCGCCCGUCACUCCUACCGAUUGAGUGAUCCGGUGAAUAAUUCGGACUGCAGCAGGCCUGGUCUCCGGGUUUUGCAGCGGAAAGUUUAGUGAACCUUAUCACUUAGAGGAAGGAGAAGUCGUAACA